CGCACGGCGACCGUUGGUUCGUCGGACGCCUUGGCUCCCGCCCGUGUUCGCGAGUUAUUUUAAAAUCAAGAUACAUCCUGAACUGUUGAGUAUUCCAGCAUUUUCUGUUUUCAUUUUUGAUUUCCAACAUUUCAGAUUCAUCUCUGGACAGAGAAACAAUUGUUGUUUCAAGUCCAGAUUUUUCAUCAGACCUUUCAGAUCUCCAACAUCUGCAGAUUUUUGAUGCAUAGGAAUUGUUCUUGUACCUCUGUUUAAAAAGAAUUCUGAAUCAUGUUUUUGGAUUGCUCCAGGGCCCUCCCUGUGUCGAUACAGGCUAUCCCCGGCUUAUGAAUGCCUGACUUAUGGACACCCCUACUACAUAUGAGUUCCCACCUGCUUGAAGAAGACCACUAUCAUCCCGAUACCCAAGAAAAAUAAGGAAAUGUGCUUUAAUGACUACCACCCAGUGCUCUGACAUCCACCAUCAUCUUUGAGAGGCUGGUCAUGGCACACAUCAACUCCAGCCUCCCAGGCAACCUCGACCAACUGCAGUUUGCCUACCACUGAAACAGGUCCAUGGUAGACACUAUCUCCCUGGCCUUGCACUCAUCUCUGGAGCAUCUAGACGGUAAAGACACUUUUAGACUAUUGAUUAUUGGCUACAGCUCUGCCUUCAGUACUAUAAUUCCAAGCAAUCUCAUCUCCAAACUCCAAGGCCUGGGACGCAACACCUCCCUUUGCAACUGGAUCCUUGACUUCUUGACCAACAGUCCGCAAUCAGUAAGGAUAGGCAGCAACACAUCUGCCAUGAUUAUCCUCAAUACUGGUGCCCCAUGAGGCUGUGACCUCAGCCCCCUACUCUCUAUACACUCAUGACUGCGUGGUCAGAGUCUGCUCUAAAAAGUUUGCAAAUUUAGUGGGCUGAAUCUCAAAUAACGAGUAGUCAGAGCAUGCCUAGUGGCACAGUAUCACGAUGGCAACCUUUUCUUCAAUGAAAAACACGGUGAUGCUGGAGGAACUCAGCAGGCCAGGCAGCAUCUGUGGAGAAAAGCAGGCAGUCAACGUUUCGGGUCAGGACCCUUCUUCAGGACUGAAGGUGCUCUGGUUUCCUCCCACAUUCCAAAGGCGUACGGGUUAGGAAGUCGUGGGCGUGCUAUGUUGGCGCCGGAAGUGUGGCGACACUUGCAGGCUGCCCCCAGAACAUUCUACGCAAAAGAUGGAUUUCACUGUGUGUUUCGAUGUACAUGCGACUGAUGAAGAAAUCUGAUCUUAUACUUACUGUCCAAGUAAGUGUAAUUCUCUUUCAGCCACAUUUCUCAUCUGAGUGAACUGCAACGUCCACAGGCCAAACCUCCAGAAAUAACUUUGCACAAGAGAGAAGUUUGCAUGACGACAACCCUCAGGAACUCUUUCCAAUCCUGCAGAGAAGCAGCUUGGUGUUUCUUCACAAGCCUGGGGACGGGACCUGCAAUAUCAGUGGA